GGGGCUUUAGCUCAAUGGUAGAGCGCUUGCCUAGCAAGCGCAAGGCCCUGGGUUCGGUCCCCAGCUCCA
rnacentral:tRNA from 1 species